rnacentral:rRNA from 1 species
ACUCAAAUGAAUUGACGGGGACCCGCACAACUGGUGGAGCGUGUGGUUUAAUUCGAGACGAAGCGAAACACCUUACCAAGGUUUGACAUGAUACCGUACAGGUCGCCAGAAACGGCGACCAAUCCGCAAGGAUGGUACCACAGGUGAUGCAUGGCUGUCGUCAGCUCGUGCCGUGAGGUGUUCCCUUAAGUGGGGAAACGAGCGCAACCCGUAUCUAAUGUUAAAUAUUCAUUAGAGACAGCCCCGAUUUUAUCGGGGAGGAAGGCGCGGAAGACGUCAAGUCAGCACGUCCCUUAUACCUUGGGUAACACACACCCUACAAUGGCGAAGAACAAUGAGCUGCAAGCCGGUAACGGCAAGCUAAUCUCAGAAAUUUCGCCUCAGUUCAGAUUGAGGUCUGCAACCCGACCUCAUGAAGUCGGAAUCAGUAGUAAUCGCGGAUCAGCAGGCCGCGGUGAAUACGUUCUCGGGUCUUGUACACACCGCCCGU